UUCUUCGGAGAGUUUGAUCCUGGCUCAGGAUGAACGCUGGCGGCGUGCCUAAUACAUGCAAGUCGAGCGA
rnacentral:rRNA from 1 species